UCAUAUGGGCAAGACAUAUAGGCAACCGUAAGGUUGGCUGCGUCCUUGUUGGGCAGUUUCCUACCCUGUAUGUUCUUGUCCACCAAC
rnacentral:antisense_RNA from 1 species